rnacentral:rRNA from 1 species
AUCGGCCACACUGGAACUGAGACACGGUCCAGACUCCUACGGGAGGCAGCAGUAGGGAAUCUUCCGCAAUGGGCGAAAGCCUGACGGAGCAACGCCGCGUGAGUGAUGAAGGUCUUCGGAUCGUAAAACUCUGUUAUUAGGGAAGAACAUAUGUGUAAGUAACUGUGCACAUCUUGACGGUACCUAAUCAGAAAGCCACGGCUAACUACGUGCCAGCAGCCGCGGUAAUACGUAGGUGGCAAGCGUUAUCCGGAAUUAUUGGGCGUAAAGCGCGCGUAGGCGGUUUUUUAAGUCUGAUGUGAAAGCCCACGGCUCAACCGUGGAGGGUCAUUGGAAACUGGAAAACUUGAGUGCAGAAGAGGAAAGUGGAAUUCCAUGUGUAGCGGUGAAAUGCGCAGAGAUAUGGAGGAACACCAGUGGCGAAGGCGA